rnacentral:rRNA from 1 species
UACGGAGGGGGCUAGCGUUGUUCGGAAUUACUGGGCGUAAAGCGCGCGUAGGCGGACCUGCAAGUCGGGGGUGAAAGCCCGAGGCUCAACCUCGGAACUGCCUUCGAUACUGCGGGUCUCGAGUCCGGGAGAGGUGAGUGGAAUUCCUAGCGUAGAGGUGAAAUUCGUAGAUAUUAGGAAGAACACCAGUGGCGAAGGCGGCUCACUGGCCCGGUACUGACGCUGAGGCGCGAAAGCGUGGGGAGCAAACGGG